UAGUAGAUCCACCUUCUGGAGCCCAUUGCCGACUCAUGACAGGUCAUGGUCGACCAUCGCUCGGUGUUUCCUGUGCAUAUUAGCGAAGUCUCCUCGUUGGUUGAUCCUGUUGGUCGACCCGCUUCGCAUCUACAGAUAGAUUCUAGCCUCAGACGUCCUUAUCCAGUAGCACUUUAAGACGAUCGAUCCUUGAUCGUCGCUGACCAAUUCUUGUCUUGACAACACCC
rnacentral:lncRNA from 1 species